GAUGAACGCUGGCGGCGUGCUUAACACAUGCAAGUCGAACGGAAAGGCUCCUGCUUGCAGGGGUACUCGAGUGGCGAACGGGUGAGUAACACGUGGGUGAUCUGCCCUGCACUUCGGGAUAAGCCUGGGAAACUGGGUCUAGUACCGGAUAGGACGAUGUUUUGGAUGCCAUUGUGGAAAGUUUUUCGGUGUGGGAUGAGCUCGCGGCCUAUCAGCUUGUUGGUGGGGUAAUGGCCUACCAAGGCGUCGACGGGUAGCCGGCCUGAGAGGGUGUACGGCCACAUUGGGACUGAGAUAAGGCCCAGACUCCUACGGGAGGCAGCAGUGGGGAAUAUUGCACAAUGGGCGCAAGCCUGAUGCAGCGACGCCGCGUGGGGGAUGACGGCCUUCGGGUUGUAAACUCCUUUCGCUAGGGACGAAGCGCAAGUGACGGUACCUGGAGAAGAAGCACCGGCUAACUACGUG
rnacentral:rRNA from 1 species